GCCGUCCUGUCACCCAACAACAGUCGCGUUGACUUUGUACUUUUAAUUAUGUGUUUUUAUCAUUAUAUAGCUGGGCUAUUUUUUAGGCUUGCAAACCUUGGCCGUCUCAUAUACAUACGCGCCUCAGUCGCGGCUUAUAGCUACGUUUAAAAUUAAAAACAUUUUAAAUAAUAUUCGGUUAUUUCAUAUCUUCAUCUCAUAAGUAAUAGUAGCUCAUCAUCAUCAUCAUCAUCAUCAUCAUCAUCAAUCAAUUUUACUGAUUUAAAAUGAAAACACACGCUAGCCUCGCACAACUGAAAGCUGAUUUACAGGAGGGGCGUGAUAUAUAAAAUAGUAAAAUAUAUAGAAUAAUAUAUGAACCCCCAACCUCCCCUCCUUCCCCAACAACAAAGAAAAAUAAAGUAAGUAAAGUAAGUAAAGAUAUUUAACUGUACAUAAUUAAUAAGUAAACAUGGUUCUAAAAGGACAGCUGCGCAAUACUACGCUUAAAUUGACUGAGCGAAGUCGCUCUUUUUGCAUUUAAUGGAAGAUUAUUCCACAGCAUUGAUGCACUAUAUUUAAAGCUUCGCUUCAAAAAAUUAGUUUUUGGUUUUGGAAGUGCUAGAUCCGUUUCCUGAUUUCGUAAAUUAUGGUCUCUAUUAAGUUCGCUAUGUUUUACGAGGCUUUCUCUUAAACAUGGCGAACAAUUUUCAUUAAGGAUUUUAUACAUUAGGAUACUCUUCAACUUAGCCCGCCUAACAUGUAGAUUAUCCCAUCCUAAAC